AAGGUAGAGGUGCGGCUGCGAUAAGUACCUGUACACGGGACUACCAGUCCGAUGGUGUACAGCGAAAGGCAAGGCUGCCGAAGAACGGUCUCCGGUAAAUUCCGUUCUGGCUGUAUGUUUAAGAGGUAUACAGCUGUCAUCAUUGCGUAUGGUGGAGAGCUAUCG
rnacentral:ncRNA from 1 species